rnacentral:lncRNA from 1 species
AACAAGACGCACACGUGUCUAGCCUCUACGGAUAUCCAUCAGAAUCGAUUUGAGACACUCCUCUCAAACUGGAUCUUCCUUCACCAAGCAAGAUCCGCAUGCUCCUGGUGCUCCAGAUCUGGAUCAACUCCUUGAUCCAGAUUCACAAUAGCGAUGGAUGAAGAAGAUCAAUGAAGAGAACCCUUUCUCUCUAGGUGUGGGAUGUGGAAGACAGAAGAAAAGGACUGCCCAACUUUUGGGCAUGUGAAUGUGGAGAUGAAAGCCCAACUCCUUGGGUGUGGGAUUUGAGGGAGGAUUGAGGCAG